AUACGUAGGGGGCAAGCGUUGUCCGGAUUUAUUGGGCGUAAAGAGCGUGUAGGCGGCCAUGCAGGUCCGUUGUGAAAACUCGAGGCUCAACCUCGAGACGCCGAUGGAAACCGCAUGGCUAGAGUCCGGAGGAGGAGAGUGGAACUCCUGGUGUAGCGGUGAAAUGCGCAGAUAUCAGGAAGAACACCCGUGGCUAAGGCGGCUCUCUAGUACGGUACUGACGCUGAGACGCGAAAGCGUGGGGAGCGAACAGG
rnacentral:rRNA from 1 species